GCUCAGCCUGAGAGCGCCGCCCGGAGCGGGACCCGGCUGGAGCCACCGCCCGCGGCUCCCGCUUCCUUCCUCCGUCUCUCCCAGCCGGGAGGGUCCUCCAGGUGCCGGGCUCAGUCGGCAGCUGCCUUCGGAACCCUGGCUGAAAGUUUCUUUGACGUUAGAGGAGGUUCCCCGGAGGCGGCGGGGGAGCGGUGUGUCCAGGGAGGAGCACAGCCCGUGCCUCAGGAGCCCGCCGAGGCGCCGUUCGCGACAGCGCCGCGAAGGCCCAGUAUCGUUUGCUGUUACAGCUACACGGCACAGCCUCGUUCCUCAUUCUGUGAAUUCUCGUAGCUACCCCAGAUGUGUGCGGUGGUGCAUUAAGGGCUUUAAGGGGUCCCAAAGCAGUGAAGCAAAGCACUGUUACUGAGAACUCUGCUUGCCUGCAGGCGUGGUUACAUCUUCCACGGUGAAGCAAACUUUCUCUUCCAAAAUGACUUUACGAGUUCUGGUUUUAUGUUUGGCAUAUUCUGGGCUUGGAAAGGCAAAUGUGGUUCCACAGGCUGGACACACAAAAGUGAGGAGAGGUGACAGCGUGACUCUGAGCUGUGCCCUGACAGAACCCAUGGAGGUUCUGCAAGUGACGUGGCAAAAGAACUCAGAAGAAUCACAUGACAAUAUGGCUACAUACAGUAAAGCAAAUGGAUUAAAGAUUCACAAGCCCUAUGAAGACAGAAUGAAUUUCACAAAUUUGGAGCUCAACCAGACGAGCAUAACUUUUUGGGACACUAGAAUGGAUGAUUCAGGAUGUUACAAGUGUCUCUUCAAUGUUUACCCUUUUGGCUCCUUCUCAGGAAAUACCUGCCUGAGUGUUUUUGGUCUUAAUGCAUCUGUCCAUCACAACAUUUCUGAAGGUCAUUUGAUAGUCAUCUGUAGUGCUGAUGGCUUCCCAGAGCCCACCAUCACCUGGAGCAAGAUGUUCAAUUCUAUUCCUACACAGCAGACAGUCAAGCACAAAAAUGGGGUUGUGUCCGUCACAAGUAAACUGGAAAUCUACAACAUUCAGAACAUCAGUGCACAGGAUUUGACCUGCAGAGUAAACAACACAAAUGAAACAUUUGAAUUGCCUGUGAAAAUAAAAGGAGAAGAGGGAUCAUCAUUGCUUUGGCUGGUGAUUGUUGCAGUGCUUCUAGUACUCAUCACAGUUCUGAUUCUGAUUACACUGUUCUGGAGGAAGAUCCUAUGCAGGAGGAGUUGAAGAGCUAAAGGCUCAAAGCUUGAAGUCCUUCUGUGUCUCCAAGAGAAGUGGGGUCUCAUGUCCUGCUGCCUGAGAAGAUGUCAAGAUUCCUGGCCCCACAUGUAUGCCUGGCCAACGUGUCACAAGGGUCCUGAGGAGUUCCAUCCAUCAUAUCAUUAAACGCCAAGAAGCCUGAAGUCAACAUUACAUAUAGUGAUUUGACUGGCUGGAAAGAAGCAGCAAAAAAAGAAGGCAUCAUAUACACUGCCUUAUCUGAAAGCUGAGCUGAUCACUGAAAUGACUAACACAAUGUUUGUUAUCUGGUCUAGGCCCUUAAUCUUAAAAUGUAGGACUGGAGGGACCACUUGGUCUGCUGCUCAGCAGAGGAGGAGAUUUUUGUCAGGCAAAACCUUCUUUACCCACACUGCUCUUGGUACUGCUGCUGGGAAAAAUAUGUCUGUCUUCAUCCAGUUGAGUUUUGAAAAUGUCCAUGGAUAGAAGCUCUGCAGACCAUCUGGGGAUUCUCUUCCGGUGCCUAAUUGCUCUUGCAGUAGAGUGGGAUCUAAUUUUUGCCAAUAUCUGUCUGCAGUUUCACUUGCAGCAACUCAGAGUUCAUCACCCUCUUCCUGUCAUCUGGUUUUUCUUCUCUUAUCCAACUGUUCCAACUCCUUUUUCUCUGUCUGGAAAGAUCUGCUGGACUCAAAAUCACAGGGCUCAAACUAUACAGGAUUUGUCCAAAUUACUGGGAAAGAGCAAUAUGUCUCCCAGCAGGUGGCUAAAUAAAGGCAGUAACAGCCACAGUUUGGAAAGAAGAAUUGUAAUUUGUAUAAUAUAAAAGGCAUUUAUUUUAUUUGACUUCUUUCUAAUCCUGGAGUGUUUUCCAUAAGAAAUAAAUUCCUAAGAUAUGAGCUCUUAAUUACUGUUAAAAGUUACUGUUCCAAGUUUAAUAGUUUAUAAGCAAAAAGUUGUUCGUUUGUACCCCUAUUCCCUACUCUAUGCCUGUACUCCCUUUCCGUGGAGCAUCACCACCUCUGCUCGCAGGAGACUGUGCGCCCAAGGACAUACCCAUAUGCAAAUUAAGAUACGCUUGGCACAAAAGACCCCCAGGGACUAUGAGCCACCAGAUAACUGAGGACUGGAAAUAACAACUCUAGCCUGGCAAAACGGUAUGGAACCUCGGAUUAUCGACUGGAGCCAGCCCUAUGUCGUCACCAAAACCCUGGCAGUUCUUGACAAAAAGGACACCCCCCACUCCUAGACUCGCGCCAGCAUUGUCUUCCCAGGGACUCUUGCGAGGACGGAAGCCCCAGUUCUGCCGGGUGGCAAAACUGAACCACCUCCUCCUCCGCGUCGUCCGUCGGGAGCAGCGGCGGUGUGCGCAACCCCUCAAGUUCCCCACCCAGAGCUGUCCUUAACAAAGACCUUUAAAAAGGAGCUGGUCUCCUGGCCCAUUUAUAACAUUUUCUUCUGUGUUCUCUGGGUUUUUUAGGUAUUUGUGUGGUGGGGUUAAAUAUGUAAGUGAGGAGGAGAUGGUAACAAAGGACAGUAGUUGUUGUAGUACACGAAAUAGUUCAUUUUUGUUAUUAUAUUGCACUGGUUGGUUUAUCAUAUUUGCCCACAAAAAUAGUUUUAUUCUAUUUUGCACAUGGUAUGUUUUGUACACCCUCUGGAUUCUGGUGUUGGUAUCCUCUAGCCAAUCCCUCCCUGUGCGACACCCCCCCAGGUUGUUUCCCAUUGGUUGUGGUUACUUGUGGGGGCCACAAAGGCCCCCACAGGGAGCUGUGCCUUCUCCUAGAGGGAAAGUGAGCUGUGAAGCAGUGAGGCCUCCCAUAGGGAGUCUCACUGGGACACAUGCUCUUUGGUUAGGGAGAGCACAUGGUGGGACAAACCCAUGAGCCCUUGCAAGUAUGCAGAUUCCUUGACUCCCAUUGGUUCAUUCUGUACUUCCUAGUUUUCCUGUAACCCCAUUGGCCUGAGUGGCAAACCCCUCCCCCCCCUCCCUCCAGUUCCCUAUAUAACCAGGGUGGUUGGGCCCCUCGGGGUUCUUC